rnacentral:lncRNA from 1 species
UGAAUUUGGAAGCAAUGGAAUUUACAAGACCUGCUGCUUAUGUGGUUUGUAUGUCAUUCUUCUUUGUGCUUUGGUGAAAUGGGUUUCAGAGGCCAAGAGGUGGACACCCCACGAUUUUUUAAGGCAGAGCAAGUGUGGGAACAUUGCAGGAAAGAAUUGAUAGAGAGGGACAAUGAUUAUAUUGAAGAUUUGGACUUUGAAAUGAAAAAUAAUAUAGACACAGAAACUAGAUUUCAACCUCCACAUAUGAAACAAACUUUUUUUUGGAAUGUACAAGAAAGAAAGUUCCUACUACUCCUAUUUUUGAAGAAAUUUUGUCACUCUUUAGUGUAGCAAAUGAUUAUGAAAGAUAUUUGGCUUCUGAGUCACCAACAAGUCCUGUUACUGAUCCAUCAACACCUCCUGAUUCUCCAUCAUCAAGGCCUCCACCUGCUCAACAAAAAAAAACCAAAGUUAAAGCCAUUUUUCUAGGAUAAGGUUGCUACUCCGAAACACGGAUUCAUCAAACACCCUCACGCGUCUGUGUCUGACACGGAUACACUCGGAUUCGCGAAGGAUACUUAUCCGUAGAGUAUCCAAAAAUUAAAAAAAUAAAAUAAAAUAAAAAUCAAGACACGGAUUCGUUUUAUAUAAAAUAUAGGAUAUAUGGAUUCGUUUUCAGUAAAAUAUAUGAUAUAUGGAUUCGUUUUCAGUAAAAUAUAGGAUAUAUAGAUUUGUUUUCAAUAAAAUAUGACAAAUAGAUUCGUUUUCAAUAAAAUAGAAUAAGAUAGAGCAAUGAUUUUCAAAUUCCAUUAUAUUUUUUAGUUUGGAUAUUUUGAUUUACACUUAUAAUUUUAUCAUUUUUUUGUGUUUUUUAUUGUUUUAUAUGUGUAUCCUUGAACGUAUUGUAUCCUAUUAUUCAGAAAAAAUGCGUGUUGACAUAUCGGAUACGUAUCGUAUCCGAUAUACAUAUCCGUAUCCGUAUUCGUGCUUCAUAGGACUUGCUACAAAGCCUGAUCAUGCAAUGGUGUGGAAGGUAGAGAGGGAUCAUUUCAGUUUAGUGAAGAAGAGAUAGAGUUUUUCGUUGGAUUUACCACCCAGAACAAAAAUGAAAGAAAAAUAAAACACAGUUUUAUUCAAGAAGCAUAAUGAGAUGGCUUGGAAGACAAAUGAAGCUGAAGGAUGAAAUAGCUUAAAAUAUGAAUAUCAAUCAAGAAAAUAACCAACCAAGCAAACCAAAGAUCAGAUAUUUCACAAGCAUUGACAACAUUAAAGAAAUGUUAUAAAAAGAAUAAACAAUCAGCCAUGAAGAGCAUAUCCAACUGUAUAAAUCAGAAUUCAUGCCAUCAUGCAGAUAUCUUCAAACAGUUACAAAUUGAAGCAUUGAUGAAAGCACUAUACAGAUGGCAUUGGGCUGAUAAAUAGCAGUAAACAGACAGCACGAAAACAUAUACAAAUCAGCAGCGGGAAUAUCAGAGAUGGCAAUAAAGAAAUACAUAUCAGAAGUUAUUAUCAUUUCAGUUACACACUCAACCAAAAUGAUAAUAUUGAUGAGCAGUUUCAAUGGAACGAUCAGAAGGCAAAAGACAUAGUACGUUCCUUAUUCUCAAAAAUGCAACUGAAGAGACUUUUAUAAACUAACAGAGAAGUCACACUCAGCUUUAAAAAAAGCAAGCAACAAUCAGAUAAAGGAGAGACCACACAUACACCUAUAACUCUAGCAAGAGGACACAUACAACACACUCAUACAAAAUAGAAAUGAGAAACAAAAAAAAGGAAGCUAGAAAGAGAGGGGAGAGACACUGAUAUCAAAAAUUCAUCAGUCAGUAUAAAAGGAGAGCAAUCCAUACAUAUCAAAACACGGUUGCUACAGAUCAAAUAUACAUAGGGAUUCAUAAUAUAUUAUACAUUGAGAGAGAGAGUAAGGUAUUGAUACAACUACAACAAGAACAAGAAAAACAGAAAGGAGAAACAGUCAGCCAUACCAGAAAAGAGAAGAAUUCAACUAAAUUGCGGAGGGUGCACAGAACACUUAAAGAAUGAAACCCUAGGGUUAACGGACAAGAGGAAAGGCAUACUUCCAGUUAAGCAUCAAACACUAUUCAUCUAAAUAAUUAUAAACAAACACAACUAUCCUACUCAUGUUAAAAGAAACACCUACAACCUCUAAGUGCAUUCAUGAGCAUCUAUAAGCAUAUUGUUAAAAUAAAUGGUAAAUGCUCGUGUCAUUCAUUCUUCUUAUCAUUUUAUGUCAGUAACACGAAUCAGAGACCCAAUCAAGAAUGAUUUAAUAGAUAAAAUUAAGAUUUUAAGAAAACAUAUCCCCUAAUGUCAUAGUAAUCCCAAUAGAGAAACCAAAUUCCAAUCGUUGAUGAAUUACCAUGAAGGUAAGGUUGGCCUCUUUAUGCAGCGACACUCCUUUGUCCCGCUGUCACCGAAUCAAUGCAAACCGAUUUGGGACCAAAUCGUAGCUACCAUUGCACCGCAAGCCAAUUGCAGGUCCAUAUUCCACAACGCCUUAGCCAUCCUCAUUGAUUGAAAAUCGACUCACGGAGGGGGCGGUGUUCGGCUCACCGGGAAACCCAUCCUCCUUGUUUGAAUCAAUUUAGUCUCCCCCGUCGUUUUAGAACCACCACGAAAAGAGGGUUCCCGCCAUCAUGACUCACCGCAGGAAGGAGAGAAUCCGUUGCUAGCAAGAGGAGAAGGUGAGGCUCGCGAUUUUGCUCGCUUUGCAUCGUGAAGGAGAAGAAGAGAGAAGAGGGGAGGGGAGGGGAAUUUAGGGAUUUAGUCCCCUUUCGGAAAUGGAGAGCAGAAGAAGGAGCUGCAGAUUUGAGGCAUCAUAGUAGCCAUGGAUGGCCCUUGUUCGUCGCCAUCACCGCUGGAAUGAAACAAAAAGCGAGGCUAGGGAUUUCAUUCCCUCUUCAUGGUGAAAGAGACUGGGUAACUGAGGU